CACUCACCCUUUAUAUAUUUAUAAACAUUAAUGAGGUCCCCCCUUAGUCUCCUCCAAAGUAAAGAGACCCAGCUCCCUCAGCCUUUCUUCAUAAGGGAGGUGCUCCACUCCCUUAAUCAUCUUUGUUGCCCUGCGCUGGACCCUCUCCAGCAGUUCCCUGUCCUUCUUGAACUGAGGGGCCCAGAACUGGACACAAUAUUCCAGAUGUGGUCUCACCAGGGCGGAGUAGAGGGGAAGGAGGACCUCUCUUGAUCUACUAACCACCCCCCUUGUAAUACACCCCAGGAUGCCAUUGGCCUUCCUGGUCACAAGGGCACAGUGCUGUGGUGUGUUAACAGGACCAGAGCCCACACGUCUAGUGUGGCUAUGUGGGGAAGGAGUUAGGUUUUUACCCUCUAACCAUGUUCAUGGAGUAGUGGAGGAGGGAUUUAAUGUUUGUUUUGUCUUGCAUAGUGGGAGUGAUAUUCACACCUGCAUCUACAAACCUACUGAUAUCAGGCUCAUGGCUGGGAGGCACCUCUCCUCUGGAGCUUCCUAAGGUUUUGAUCAUGGAUGCUUAGGGUUGGGUGGGGUGAAAUCUGUAGCAAAACUAAUCGAUAGUGAUGGGCAUGUGCCUAGCUCCAUUGUCAUCUGCUGCUUUUGGCUCAAGAGCUGUGUCUGGGGUUUCCCUUUCCUCCCUUCCCUUAAUACUGAUACAGAGCUGGUGGUAUAGGACUGGAUUGUGGUCAUUUGUCAGGCCUGCCAAAUGGUGAUGGUGUGACAGGCAGCUCUAGCCUGUGUGGAACCCUGAGGCUCUCUCCAGGUUGAGGAGAGUAAGAAAGUCGUUUAUGGGCCUAACUGACUAGUUUUUCUAAAGGAAAGUAUUUUAAAAAAUUCCCUUGUGGUCAUCACCUGUAUGUCCUUCAGCAUUAUUUUAGGAACACAUUAUCUAUGCUUUUUCAGAGAAGCAGUGCCAGGCUUUCCAGAUGACCUUGCCCGUGCUGUGUUUAUCAAGCUAAGGGAAUUUGGCACCAGAGCUUUCCCUUUGCAUGUUUCACUGUACCAGGAACCCUUGUUUAGUCUAACACCGAAUGCAUGGAAGGUUGGCUCUUGUGCUAAUAAACAUGAAUGUGAAAAGUGUGUGAUGCAAGCAGCCCUCAAUCUGAAUGUGCAUUAAAAAAAGCAUCACAACCGAGAUCUGACUAGGCUUGGAGGGGAUGUGUUUGACCUCUCUCUGUACCACACUUAGGAGGAAACCUCUGCUCAGGAGCUCUGCAGCUGAGGGGGCAGGACGCAUUAUCCUUCUGGUCCCUGCCUUCCUGUUUCGCAAGUGUUUGCUUAUCCAAUCAAAUGAACCCUGAGGUGAGCCAUGAUGAAGGGAAGAUAUCUAUGAGUUGCUGGCUUUUUGCACCCCACCCAGUUCUGGCUCUGUUGGCUUUUGGUCAUUUCCAGCUCCAGUGAGUAAGGCUAUGGUUGACCUCAAACUUCCUCAGAAUUAGGGCUGUGGUUUGGAGAUUACUUGUGAAUCUUCUGAAGUACAGAACCCCAAAUCCAAAUCAAAUAGAUAUUUCCAUAGUGACAUAUGUUCAGUCCUGUAAGAAAGUGAUGAUUUGUUAUGCCUCUGUUUUGUUUUUUCUUCUUGUGACACUCAAGGAACUUUCUACCUGUAAGGUUUAUCAUAAUCUUGACUGUUGUCUGCACACAUCUGAGGUAAUUCAGGAGGGAAGCUACUAAAUGCUUUCGAUGUGCAAGAUAAAAGCUAUCUGCCGCUGAGGAAAUGGCCUUUUAAUUGGAAGGCAGUCAACUAUGUUACCUUGAGUGACAGAUACUGCCUUCUCUUUCUGGCAGUAGAUGAUCUCAUGAAACUUUCAAUUCAAUUUCUGGAGGAUUUUGUGCUUUACAGAGGGAAAAAUAUCCAUGUGAGCUGUUCCUUGUUUGAAAUAGCAGCUCUGGAAAUCUUAUAAUUGAGGGAGAGUUUUCUGGGGAAUUUUUAAAAAGCCUCUUUCAUGAUGGUGAAAAGGAGCUAAAAAAGUAAAUUCUGGAAGCAUAAAUGUGGAAAGCUAAGAAAUAAUCCUGAUUGAAAGAAGAAAAAACCCCACCUAUUAUUUAGGAGUUGGGACUCCCCGGCUUAACAAUAACUUGAAUACAUGGUCUGGCUACUUAGAGCACAUUUGAGUCAUUGAUGUGAGGAUGUGGGCAUUUCAGAAAGGGAGGAAGAGGGAAAUAAAUAUAGUGUUAAAUAAGACGUCUCAUAUGAUCUGCAAUUUGCCCUCCCUUGUAUGAGUCCAGCUGUGUGCAGUCCUGCCAAGGGAGCAAACCUUCAUCUUUAUAUUCAAGAGUUAUGGCCUUGAACAGUGAGAGACCUGAAAAAAAAUCUUUUUCCCAAGAGUCACUUCUAGUAGCUAGCAGUGAGGAUGUAGAGAUCUGCACUUGAAAGUAGAGAGGUAGCAAACUAGUUAAGGUAAUCAGUAAUAUCAAGGCUUUUGCUGUAGGGUAAAUGAUUUCUUUAUUUUUAUUUUAUUUUUUUUUAGAUGAAAAGAGGUAGCUCCUGAAGAAUUUACAUGAUCCUUGCUUAAGAAGUCACCAGAGUAUAGUGAAUUUAACCAUCUGUUGGUUUAACAUCUCUGCUGUGCUACAGCCAUAAAUGCAGAAAAUGUUGUCGAUCCUUUAGGACCAAUCAAGCAUCCUAAAUUACUUAGCUGAAGCUGGGCUCAGAGCUGUGUUAUUGCUCUGUGACAGUGCUCCUCUCUCUCCUGCAGUUGCUUCCAGCUGUCCUUUGAAGAAAAGGAUUUUGGUGCCAUUUCCAAGCUGACAGGCAGCUGAGGUGGCAAAGAAUGUUUCUUUCAAAACAAACCGAAGACCCUAUACUGUUUAUUUUCUUAUUUAUAGUGGGAGUUUUGCACUGUAUUUUAUUAAACAGUCUCUAAAAAACCACUGUUUUUAGUCAGGCGCUUAUGUUAGAUUUUUAAAUGCAGAACUAGAAGUCCUAAAAGAGACUGUUAAAAAAAGAGGGGAAAAAACCCAUGUGGAAUCAAAGUGUUGAGCAGUUCCUGUGUGUCUCCCUGAAGCAAACUUCAGCAGCUGAUGAGCAGUAAGUUUUCUUUUGUUUUUCUAACCGUCAAUGUUGAAAUGCAGAAGCUGACAUUUCAGCUAGGUUUUCUUGCACACAUCCUGAAGAGGGAAAAAAAAAAAAAAGAAAAGAAAUGUCCUUCUUUCUGAAUUAAUUAGUCUCUCUCACAGGUGAGAUGACAGUUGUCGAGGUUUUUGAUUGCGGGGUGACAAUAAAACCCUGGCAGAUGUAUUGUUAACCCCCUCUCCCCCCACUUCCCCCUUUUCAGCCCCCCUCUCCCUCCUUCCCACUCAGGACAGGCGAUUGGGAGGGAAAGGAGGACAGAGAGAAGAGAGCUGGAAAAAUUAAAAAUGUUUUACUAAUGCUACUAAUAAGAAUAGAGAAAAUAAUACAAAAUAUACAAAACCAAUCUUGAAAGUCUCAGCAACUGCAGCACCGGCACCCGAAGUCCUGGAUUGGACUCUGCAGCCAGCCGGAGCUGGAUUCAGUCUGUCACUAGGCCUCAGUUCACAGGGACGACUAGCAAGGUCCUCUCCUAAUGUCGGCCAUAAGCAAAAAGGAAAAAGGGGCGAGAUCCUCGUGAUCUCCCACUUUUAUAUGAAGUAUUCAUGUGAAUGGAAUGUUAUACUCAGUUGGUCAGUUUCUUGGUCACCUGUUUCUUGUUGCCCCUCUCGCAAGAUGUGCAUCAAUUCAUUAUCAAUAACCUUGCAUUCCAUUGUUAUGUUUACCAGAACAUGUAUCUGGUUUUCCAGGAAAAUGCAGCUAAUAUGAAGGCUUUAGCUGACAGGCAAAUUCACUAAAAGAGAAACUUGUUUUUAACAAAACCAGGACACAGUGGAAUUCCGCAUGCUGUGAAUAACGGUACUGCAACCUACUCCUUGAAAAUGUGAGAUUUAAAAAGUCUCACUCCUAUUACUAUGUUUGAUCUUCAGCUCCAAGAGGAGAAGUAGGAGAAUCUCCUGUUGAUUAGGCAGUGGCUCUGGACACUCACAGAAAAAAAAAAAAAAAAAAUUAAAAUAAACAGGUAACUUCAUAUAGAGAUUUACUCUGUGAGGUAAAGCUUCCACUCAAAAUGGCAUAGGGAACUUACGAAAUUAUUUCAUAUGAAAGAAGCUGUUAGGCUGAAGCUAAAAUCCAUGGCCAAAAUGUGUUUGUUCUGUUUUAAUGAGUUAAGUACCUGACAACAUGAAAUGAACAGCCGAUAUGUUUCUGAUUGGGACUGAACACUUCUGCCCCCUACACACUGUAGUUCUAGGAGUUACUUCUGAUGAAGUAGUUGCUCUAACUUAAAAUUGCUUCCAAAACAGCACACCAUGUGCCAACUGCUUUAGAUGUGAAUCUGAUUGUCAGCUCUGGAGCUGAUGUAAAAUAAAAUUUGCCUGUGGAAAUGGUGUCUGUUUCACUUUAAUGCUUUUAUUUUCACCAAUAUGGACUUGAUUACUGAUGGGGGGUGAAAUGUAUUAAGUGUUUAUGGAGAUGUUUCUUUCUGACAGAUCACUAGAAAAAGCCUCAAACGAAAUUAAUCUUGCCCUGCUUCUUUCAGUGUCUUUAAACUAAGGAGGGAAGGAAAUAUAUAAAUAUAUAUAUAUAUAUAUAAUUUUUUUUACCUCUUGUGAGAAGUUUUAAAACAAUUGUGAAUCCUUGCAGCAACUCAAAUGCUGGAACUGGGCUGCUAUCUAUAAAAGAGACUUGAAUUGCAUGUCCUCGAUUUGUCUUUGCAGCACUACUCUAGCUAAAGUUUAUCUUCUGUCCAAAUGUGACACAUUGAUGUGCCCUGCUUGGUUGCACAUUUAUUUACAUUUGCAUGCGUUCUAUAGCAAUUCGCUGCUUCUCUCUUUUCUCUCUCCCUUCCCCCUUUCUUUUCUUUCAGUGUUUCAGCUCCUGGAAUCAUCUGCUUCCUGUCCAAAACUCACAGAGCAAACUUCUGCAAAGCAUGCUGAUAGAAACUGGUAUCUAAAAAUGACGUGGGUCUGCUACCUUCCCAACUAUUACAGCUUUGAGAGCACAAAACUUCCAAAUUAGCUGAUCUGAUAGAGCAUUGCCAUUUUUCAACUGUUUUUGCUGCGUGUCAAGUCUUGACCCUGAGCCAGCCUGAACUGGCAGCAGAUCUCUGGAAUAAGGCAUGGGGAAAGCAGCAAAACAGCCAUUUAUCUUUGAAACAAAAGACCUCAAGGUGGAAUGUUCAAUUCUCUUGUCAUUUAGCCUGGUGUAAAGCAGGUACAACUCCUCUGAAAUGGAGAAAAGAACUGCAGGAAAGAACAAUGAAGCUCUUGAACCAUAUGCUUUGGCAAAAGUUAAAUGUCAAUUUUGUAUGCUACAGAAUGAUCUGCUUCACUGAGUGGGAGGGAAGAAAGAUGAGAAACAAACUUGCAUCCCUUAGAAGGCUUUUUAAAAGAUUUAUUUGGUUUUAUUUAAGGUGUAUGUUCCCUACACUGUAGGCAUAAUUUGGUGAGAGCUUCUCUAGAUUUCUGAUGAUAAUGCCGCCAGAGUAGAGAUAAUGCUAUUCAAUUCUCUUGAUCGCAGGAUUUCUUGUCCUAAAAAAGUGAUAGACUUCAAUAACUUGCAGAGUGGCAUUUAUACGUUUUGCAAGUGAGCUUAGAUCAGCUUUUCAGCCCUUCUAUUCUAAUAGCAAUCCCAAGUAAUUAUUAACUUAGUGAUGUUUUGCUGUCUCACUGCCGGUGUGAGAUCAGAACUGGUGCUUAAAACUUUCCUGUGUUCAGAAGAAAAACAAUUUUGAAACAAUCUGAUCGUGGUUGUCAGUAUGUACAAUGUGGAAGUGAGAAAAUGCUGAGGAAGUAAAAUGAGCUGUUGAAUGACACAGAUCUCGUCAGCUCUUAAAGGGAAACUCUGAGAUUUCAAAAGAGCUGUUUUGAGCAGCUGGUGACUCAGAGUAGUAUCUGUGACACACAAGCCAUCUAGCAUAAGCUAAUAUGGGAAUGGAUCCUAUACUUAUACAACUUGUUAUCAAGCAAAACUCCUACUGAAGGUUAAAAAAAAGGAAAAAUUGUUUUCUCUUAUUCUGCAGUGGGACUUGAACAUGACCUCUCUGCCAGCAGGGGAAACGAGUGAUAUCACAGACAAGAGAAAACAUAGUAUGUUUUCUUUAAGAAAUAUUUAGCUCGCAAACCAGAAAAACCUCUGUUUGAAAAUUUGGCACCACACCUUAGGGCAUCUCAAAACAUACCAGCAAGCAUAUCAGCAGCUUCCUGUUGCUGGCAGUACUGUCUAAGCAUACCCUAACAGUAUGGAGAGAUCUGGAAAGCAUGCAACAGCCUCUUCAGAAAGCACUUCGCCUGGGAACAAUCGCAUCCUAUUGCUCCUACAAAGGAGAGGACUACGAGAGCAAUUUGUCUUUAGAAAUUCUGUUGGUGUGGCAAGAAAUGGAAUAUUAUUUCUUCCUGCUAAAAACAGGACACUCCAUUUUAAAAAAGCUGCAAUUAAAUAGCCCAGGAAAUGCCGGACCAGAAGAGAUGGCUUGUCAUAGCAUAUAAAACAUGCCACAAUGCUAUCCCAUAAGGAACACCGAUACUCCUGCUGAGUGUGAGGUGGAUGAGGUUCAAAAGAGAUACACAUUAAAACAUAGCACUUAAAAUAAAACGUGUUAAAAUGAAAAGAUGGCAUGGGAAGAAUCCAGUUCUGGAAAAGCCUUCAGAGUGCAGAUAAUAGUUUGGUUCAUCUCUCUGAGAAUAAACAACUUCUAUGUAUGUGUUUUUGCUGAAGCCUUUGAAAUCAGGUUAUUUUUGGAAAGUAUCUAUUUAAAGAGAUCUGUGUAGGCCAAAUAAACUCACUUCUUACUAAUUUUGUAACAGCUUUACUGGGACUUGAUCCUGUGGUGAAAAAUACAUGGCUUCCUCAUGGUAAGUUUGUAAAGAAACAGAGGCACUGGAAAUAAGGGGGACAACAUCACUCUCUGAAAGUUAUAGAUUAAAACUGGAGAGAUUUGGUCUUCUGUCCCCUCCUGGCUUGCAUUGUGGCCAGUUGAAGUACCUCAUCUGUACUGGGACUGAGCUAGUUGUCAGCUCUGUCCCUUUUUAUGUCCCACGCUGAAAGCUUGCCACCUUUCAGUGCUGAGGGGUCUUCCUCAAGCAACUGCACCAGUGUGCUUUUAGGUGCAGUGGGUGGACACAGGCUUGAGGGGUGUUAGUUUGAAACCUGCUAUUGCUGUACUGUCAACUUUUUUUAAAGAAAGCUGUGUUACUUAAAAACCUGCUUCAAGAAUUUAUUUGCAGGCAUGUUUGGUAACACGCUUGCUCCCUCUCUGCCCAACUCGAGCCUAGGAAAUUGUGUUCAAGCUUGCAACCGCAUGCAGAGUGUCUCAGAAGUAGAACAUCAGUAUUGCUUUACUGGCUGGAGUUCUCUGACAAGUCAGGUGGCAAGAUGCACCUCAAGUCAGAACUAGAAGCAGGAUUUGUAUGUUAAUAUCAAAUUUGGAAAUAACCAGGUAGAUACGCUGCUGAUGCAAACAGAUACAGCUGUAUUAUACAGCCUGGUGCUGUUCUAUGGCAUUGUGUGGAUUUAAUAAGCUUUGUUAGAGAGCUGCAAAACGCCCGUAAAACUCAUGCCAGUGGUGUUUUGAGGUCUGCAGUAAUAAGGUGUGCCAUCAUUGGGAUGGAAGAGAACUGCAGCAGGGAAGAUACUCAGGUCUGACCUCUGGCUAUCUUAAUACUAUUGUCCCUGGAGGUGGUCAAUGGGAUUUAUUGCUUGUGUCAGGAAACAGCAUCAACUGUAAAGCGGGAACUAAGCCUUAGGCUCACAUGGCAGUGUGCUUUGGCUGCGAAGUGGCUUCUCUGCCUUUGUCACUUCCAGUGCCCUCAAAUGCAGAGGGAAUGCUCUUCCCUAUCUUCCCCUGAACACUGUUUUCCUCAAAGUCCUGCAAAGCCCAAGAGCACCUAUAUCAUCCCUCUGAUACAGUGCGGUAUGAACAGCUUUCCCCUCGUUUUAGCCCACAUAUUUAGUGCAAGUGACUUGGACUGAAUUCUUAGAAGACCUGAGAUGAAGUUGUGGAAUUAUUAAUUCUGAUAACCCCAUGAACUUCUUUACUUUCAAAUGCGAGGCUGCUGUCUUCAGCUGUUGAUAGAACGUCUUCAUGAACCGUGUGCUUUCCCAAUAUGAGAAAUUAUGCUAUGGGAAUGAUAAACCAAGACAGCUGUUAUAAUUGCUUCCUGUAGUAUUAAGCUGUUCUUUGUACUUUUGUUUUAGUGUUUGUGCAUGUUUUUGUCCGCAGUUGCUAACAUAGACUGGUGUAUGAGGUUACAAAUCAAAUGGCUGGAAUUAUAUUUGUGAACAUGACUUGAUUCUCCACUUGAGCUGGCAGUGGAGGAAGAGAGGAAGUUCAAGCUGUGCUGUCUGGUUACAACAUUGUAAACCUGGAUGGGCAAUGGGAGCUUUGCUUGUCACUAGGAUAGCAAUCAUGGAAACAAAAACCAGUAUAACAGAAGCUAGCCUGUGCAUUAAUACCAGCUGAGAGAGACACUAGAGCCUUCAGUCUUCAUUCUUCAAAGUAUAAGUGGUUCACAGGAGGUCAAGUAGUAAUCCGUCUUAAAAUAAUGCUGCACAUUUGCCUCCUUUAUGCAGACUUGAAACCUUUUAGCUUUCUGUCAAUUAAAAGCAGACUCUUAGACAAGUUAUUGUUGAGGUAAAUGACAGAAUAAAGUUCAUUGAAUUGCAGGGAAAGGAUGAUGCAAGCUCAACCUCUCCUGAAAAAACAACAAAAAAUAAUUGAUUCAUUACAGAUACUUAUUGAGGGAAUUAUGAUAGUCAACAGUCAAAUUCCCACUGGGUCCUGCAGCUGUAAUAUAAUUAUAUAUACUACUUGGGAGUGAAAAGCCCAAGAAAUGAUAAUGCCAAGUUGAGUCUGCCGCCUUAAGCCUGUUCUUUUGUGGAUUAGUGUGUCUUUAAUAAUGUGACAUAUUAUUUCUCACUUAGACUACAUUGGGCAAUCUUAAAUAUGCUGUGUGUUCUGUACUUCAAAGAACAUCAACCAUCCUUUAUCUACCUCACCAAUGACAGGCAAGCUUGUAUCUUGCUUUUAAUGAUGCUGCACAUGCAUUUUUCCAGAGACGAAGUGUGUUUGGGGAAGAACUGUAGAGCACAGCUCAGCAGAAGAGUUGUGCUCUCAUCAGAUUGGGGUGUUGUGGUGGUUGUUUAUCAGGCUGGUACUCUGUGGCAUGAUUUUUACCUUCUUACAGGCUUCAGCUGUAGAAUGCUAAUAUAAAGACCACUUCCUUCCAACUCUGUUAAAUGCUGAGUUGCGUCUCUUUUGCCCAGGAACACAGGGCAGAAUGACCAUGUGUGAUCUGUUUCAUUGGAAUGGAUGGGUGUUCUACAUGCUCUGGCCCUCAGCAUGGGGAGGCCCCCCUGUCGUAUUUGCUUCUCAGUUAUUGCCAUGGUUCUGUCUCCGCUGAUGCCCUUCAGAAUGCCCAGGCUCAACAUUAGUGUACUGGAAUAUUUCAAUACCUGCAGAUAUAUGUGAUCAUCAGGGAUGAUGAGGCACAUCAGAGGAUAAGCUGCACUCCAGACAGGGUAUAAACUGGUUCUGAAGGAUACACUGGCUUUCCUCACUGUACAUAAAUGAUGCUGAUGAAUUCAGACAGCAGUUUGGUGCUGUGGUAAAAGACUAGGAUGAAACUUGUGGGCAAAUGGUGCUUUCUGUGCUUUUGCAGAAAUCAGUGCAACCCCUUUCGGUCUUCUGCUAUUGAUUAGCGGCAUUAGUAUUUCCAAAUUGCAAAACAACACUUAGGGGUUCAUUUGUCUCCAAGUUAGUCAACUUACCUCAUUUUAGGUGAGCAGUGAUUUCAUCUGAUGAUAGAAUGUAGCUUUGAACCUCAGACAUCAUUACAGAGAAAAAGAAGAAAACCUGUACUGCAGUUAACUGUCCUCAAUGUUUUUCUGUCAUGCAGGUUUUUAUUAUAUGCUGGUAUUGACUUCUGUCCUAAACACGGACACAUCGUUGUUAAAAAAAGGGCAUCAUAAUGUGCUUUUCUGGUAGACAUGGGUGCCUUCAGUAGCAAGCCUAUGCUAAGACAAUCUAGGCUGGCUAUUCUUCAAGAUCCUAAAGUGUUUUAUAUUUGAAAGCAUACUGUUCACAAAUGGAAGCAGAAAUCACCUUAUGCAUGCUAAGGCUGGGGCUUGAAAAUGCUUUUGGAAACAGCUCUUCCUGAAUCAAUGGAUCCAAACUAAAUGAAGCACAACUGUGACAUUUUUUUCCCAUUUUUCAAAGUAUCUAAUGUAACAAAGCUUGGAAAACAAUAACACUUUGUUUACCACAAUAGAACAUAAAUCCCUCCCAACAGGUUUUGCUUUUAAAUAAAUGGACCACUUUGGGGGAAAACGUUUACAUCUCAUUACUGUUAAAAAUUCUAGCACACAUGGAGACGUCUUCUGGAGAUAGAUGUGCUGUUUAGGUAAAUUAGAGUAUUCCUAUAACUAUAUUAGAAUAUAUUGUUGCAUGAAGUAUCAUUUGGUAAUGAGCACUGAUUCAUCUGGACUUUGAAAGGGAACCAUACCAGAUCCUAAAAAGGGGAAAAUAAACAAUCUGUAUGACAAUAAUGAAGACACUUUUCUCAUUACCAGGAACAAAGCACUAAAGUUAAUAGUGCUCAUCAAUUAAUGGUUCAUUUAUCAAGCUGCUUGAGGUAAUUGUGACUCUUCUCAUUAUCAGAAUAAAUGUCUCCUUUGCAUAUACCUAAGCUCUUUAUUUCCACAACCUUAGUGGUGGAGAGUUCCACAGGUUAGUCCAGUAUUAUAUACUGUGCUGGUUUGACUGAAAAUGGGUUAAUUUUCUUCAUGCAGUUAGAAACCUUUCUUUUUCAUAGCUAGCAUGCUCAUUAUUUGGACUUAGUUUGAGAAUAGGCAGAUAACACCCCAGCACAGAGUUAAUGUUUUUAAUUGCUCUGGUCUGAGAGCCAAGGACAUUCUGAGUGCUCUGCCCACAGGUGUGAGGCAUCGAGGAAGGGAGGUGUGGCAGAGAUAGGGCAGAGCUUGACAGACAUUCAGAUUGAUCAAUAAGAGCAUUCCAUCCCAUUAGUGUCAUGCUAAUUAUAUAAGGAUAGCUGGGAUCUUAUAGUUUGCUCUUUCAUUUUGUCCUGCUUGUUCUUGCUGUUGAGCUGGGGGAGUUUUGGUUGGGAUGUUUAGACCAGCCUGUUGCUAUUUUGCAGAGACCUCUGGGCUUUUCUGUCCUUUUCCUCCCUUUUCUCUCUCUGGGACUGGUUUUAGGACCAGGUGUGGCUUGCUGGGACUGGCUGCUCAGUCAUGGACACAGUUUGUGAUGAAUUCCCUUGAGUAUCUUUUAUUUCUGUUUUAUAUAUAUUUACUAGUAGUGUAGUAGUAUUUUGUUAUUUUAUUAAACUGUGUUUAUCUCAAUCUAAGUUUCUCCCUUUCCUUUUGAUUCUCUCCCCUGUUGGCGGGGGGGGGGGCGGGUAGGAGGCGGGAGAGCAAGUGGCUAUCAUGGUUGUAUUGCUAGCUCAGGUUAAACCAUGACAUACACAUACAUAAUAUUAUUUCUAUCUCUAUUUUUGUAUGUCUGCUGUUGUAUAUUUACAUUUUUCCACAAGCAGUUCAAACUGUCUGCUUUGGGGUUUAAUUCACUACCUUGUUUUUGGAAUGCAAAUAUAGAGCAUGCUAAACAAAUGUCCUUAUAUUAUUCUUUUAUAUACCAAUACUAGGUUUAUAGCAUUAUCAACAUUAUGCAGUCCAGUCUCCCCUAACUUUCCUCACAUAGUCUUUCCCUGGUGUUUCUUAUAGUAACACUAACAGAUAUUAGUGAUGGACAUAGUUGCUUUAGAUUUGGAUGUGGCCUUUUUACUGAUUUAUUUUCUAGAUACUUGAGUGGUAGCAGGGUAGUGACAAAUAAACACGAAUGCCACACUACUCUCUGGGUAUACCCACUGCUCACAGGGAACAGGGGGAAAUGAUCGCUUUGAUCACAGAUGAAAUACUUGAGCAAAGUUGGAAUGAAGACUUUGCCUUGACUGAUUGAAUUAAAUUACUUUAAAAACUGCUUAAGCAAUGUGCGUGCUGCAGUGAUUUAAUUAAGCUCAUAUCUAAAUCAGUGCUGCUACAUGGGAGUGAAUGUGAGCACCCUGAAUUUAAUCACUACUGCCACUGGUGAAUGUUUGAUAUAUCAGCUAAUGUGAAUUAAGUAAAGAGUCUUUAUCAUGGCUGGAUAUUACUGUCAAACCUGGGCUUGGUGCAAUGCAUAGUUGGGCUGUCCCUAAAAAUCAACAUUAAAGACCCAGCAGGAGUCAAGAGGUUCCCUUUGCUCCCACAGGGUAAACAGCUGUUGCCAAGCCUUGAUCCCUUCUCUUCUGAUGCUUCUCGGGCACUGUAUGUGUGGAGGGGCACAGUCAACACUGAAGUGGCUCUGUUAUCCUGUGCACUAGCCCCCUGUUCAUGUUGAUGAGGAAAAGACUUGUAGCCUGAUGGAAGCUACUUUUGCCACUGGGAUUACUAAACUCAGUGUGGAGUCCUAGCUAGAGCACCUAAUUACAAAUGAUAAUUAGAACUAACCUCCUGGGCUGGCUGACAUCUUCUUGUCUGAUCCUGUGUUUUCACGAACUGUCGCAAGUUCACAGCCUUUUAACUGUGAAGAAAAUGAACUAGAGAUGACGCAGUAUCUUCAGGAGGCAGGAGGUCUGGAGUAGUGAUGUUGCAGAAACUGUCAUAAUGCUUAUCAGUUUCAGACAAUUCUGGCUGUAAGUCUUAGGGCACAAAAAAAUGUAGAACUUAAAUGCUAAAAACCUGCGCCUGGUCUGUUUGAAGGUCUAGAUGUGAGUAGGAAUUGCUUAUGAAUGAAGAAUCACUCACUGCUGAAGAGCCAGGCUCUGGUGGUUGCAGUCUAAAGUGCUCAUGUAUUUUUGUUUCUGCUCUUGUCAGCAAUAACUGUGUUUACGUGGGCAGUACCCAGGUUUUGUUCUUGCCUCAUCAGAUUGCUGUUACUCAUUCUCCUCUCAAGGACCCUGCAAGUCUUCAUUCAUCACUGUAUGGGAUUUGUGCAAGAAUGGUGAGGAGGUUAAAUGUAAAUACGCUCAAGUGACUUGCAGCUGUGGUGUCGAAAAAGCACAUACAUCACACUAAUUGUUUUACUGAGCUCGUAUGCUUGACAAGUAGAACCUCUCUGUUAGAUAACAUAGGCAUGAGAGAAACUCUAAGGCACCUUAUUGUUGUGCCUGAGAUUCCUGCUUUGUUAUGAGAAAGACCACAAGGCUGUGCCUGCUUGAAGCCUUGAAAUACAGGCGAAUGCAGCAGACCCAGUGAUCUUCUACCAGGGCUGAAAUGCUGCAGUGCCUGCGUCCCCACUUGUGAAAACUCUGCAUAGGAACUUAGGCGCUGUUUUGGAGAUCCCUCAGUAGAGAGGUAACUAAAAUAAAACCUGCUCUUUGCAAAUGCAUUUGUGGCCUCUGGCUCUUCUUGCAAUGUGCCUGCAUUGGUUCACACAAUCACCCUUGUAAGGACUGAAACUACUAUUUGAUGACAUUCCAAUGAAACAAUAAUGACUAGGUAUAGGCGUUUCCUAGAGACUAAUAAAAAGCUGGAAGGAAGGGAAGGGUCAGGACCGUGCAGAGAAAUUGCUAUUGCAAGCUGGGAAAAAGCAAGGGGAAAAAAAUGCAGGAAGGAUUCUUUUAAAAUGGAUUACACAAUUUUAUUGGCAUUGGAAAGCCAAUGCAUGCUCUGAAAAGAAUGCAUGUCCUGAGAGCUUGUCAGAUUGUUUCAAUCUUAUCUCAACAUCCAAGCCAGCUUAAAAAGUGAACUUGACAAACAUUUUAUGCUUUUGCUGAGUUUAGCUCACAGUCCCUCCUUCCAAGCAUAUCCUGUCACAAAUCUUCAUGUAUAGGCCUGUGUUGUUUUUUUCUGCGGCAAAAAUUGUCUUUCCUUCUGCUGUUAAAACUAGCUUUCAUGUGUUUUGGAAGCUAACCUGUACGACUUAACAAUCAAAAUGUGAAUCGCUUACCCAGUGAAGUCAACACCACAGCAGUCAGAAGGCCCCUUCCAACCAAGCAUAGAGGAACAUGCUGCAGGCUGGAGCCAUUAGUUGUUAAGUUCUGUGCCGUCUUUGUUAGGUAUCACAAUAAAUUCAGUCUGGUUUGUGUUUCCUUGUCCUGAAAGCAAAUGAAGAAAUACAGAGUUGAGAAGAAUCUACUUAGCUCUUCUAGCACCACGCACUGAGGAGCAUCAUGUGUAUUUACAACUCAAGUUUAAUAUCUUCUGAACUGAUACUUGUCUAUUUACCCUUUAAAACAAACAAACCAAACAAAACCAACAAAAACCAACCAACCAAAAAAGUUUAAAAAUUCUGUGGCCUCUUUGAUAGGAGUACUGUGUUUAAUGAGGACACUUUUUCUAAUCUU